GAUCAUGGCUCAGAACGAACGCUUGCUGCAUGCUUUAUACAUGCAAGUCGAACGAAGGCCCUAGCUUGCUAGGUGUCCUUAGUGGCGCACGGGUGAGUAACACGUGGGAACAUACCUCAUAGUACGGAAUAACUGCGGGAAACUGUAGCUAAUACCGUAUAUUCCAGAAAUGGGAAAGAUUUAUCGCUAUGAGAUUGGCCCGCGCAAGAUUAGCUUGUUGGUAAGGUAAUGGCUUACCAAGGCUCCGAUCUUUAGCUGGUUUGAGAGGAUGAUCAGCCACACUGGGACUGAGACACGGCCCAGACUCCUACGGGAGGCAGCAGUAGGGAAUAUUGGACAAUGGGGGAAACCCUGAUCCAGCAAUGCAGCGUGAGUGACGAAGGCCUUAGGGUUGUAAAACUCUUUCAUCGGUGAGGAUAAUGACAGUAGCCGAAGAAGAAGGACCGGCUAAUUCCGUGCCAGCAGCCGCGGUAAUACGGAAGGUCCUAGCGUUGUUCGGAAUUACUGGGCGUAAAGCGCAUGUAGGCGGAACAAAAAGUUAGAAGUGAAAUCCCUGGGCUCAACCUAGGAAUUGCUUUUAAAACUUUUGUUCUGGAAUUCAGGAGAGGAAAAUGGAAUUUCCAGUGUAGAGGUGAAAUUCGUAGAUAUUGGAAGGAACACCAGUGGCGAAGGCGAUUUUCUGGACUGAUAUUGACGCUGAGAUGCGAAGGCAUGGGUAGCAAACGGGAUUAGAUACCCCGGUAGUCCAUGCAGUAAACGAUGGGUGCUAGUCGUCGGACUUUUGUUCGGUGUCGUAGCUAACGCGUUAAGCACCCCGCCCUGGGGGAGUACGGUCGCAAGAUUAAAACUCAAUAAAUUGA
rnacentral:rRNA from 1 species